rnacentral:misc_RNA from 1 species
CGCUAUCGCAGGCAAGCCAGCUUCCACAUUUGAAUGUAUUCACAGAUCAAAAUGUGAGAGCUGGCUUGCCUGCGAUGAAG